AGUGAACGCUGGCGGUAGGCCUAACACAUGCUAGUCGAACGGCAGCACAGUAAGAGCUUGCUCUUACGGGUGGCGAGUGGCGGACGGGUGAGGAAUACAUCGGAAUCUACUUUUUCGUGGGGGAUAACGUAGGGAAACUUACGCUAAUUCCGCAUACGACCUACGGGUGAAAGCAGGGGAUCUUCGGACCUUGCGCGAUUGAAUGAGCCGAUGUCGGAUUAGCUAGUUGGCGGGGUAAAGGCCCACCAAGGCGACGAUCCGUAGCUGGUCUGAGAGGAUGAUCAGCCACACUGGAACUGAGACACGGUCCAGACUCCUACGGGAGGCAGCAGUGGGGAAUAUUGGACAAUGGGCGCAAGCCUGAUCCAGCCAUACCGCGUGGGUGAAGAAGGCCUUCGGGUUGUAAAGCCCUUUUGUUGGGAAAGAAAAGCAGCAGGUUAAUACCCCGCUGUUCUGACGGUACCCAAAGAAUAAGCACCGGCUAACUUCGUG
rnacentral:rRNA from 1 species